rnacentral:rRNA from 1 species
UACGGAGGGUGCUAACGUUGUUCGGAAUUACUGGGCGUAAAGCGCGUGUAGGCGGCACAGUAAGUCAGAUGUGAAAGCCCUCGGCUCAACCGAGGAAGUGCAUUUGAAACUGCUGAGCUAGAGUACGGGAGAGGGUUGUAGAAUUCCCGGUGUAGAGGUGAAAUUCGUAGAUAUCGGGAGGAAUACCGGUGGCGAAGGCGGCAACCUGGACCGAUACUGACGCUGAGACGCGAAAGCGUGGGGAGCAAACAGGAUUAGAUACCCCCGUA